UAAUUGAGACUAGCAUCAUGUGCACAUGUGUAUACAUAAGCAUCAAUAGUAAGAGAAACCAAGUUUGCCCUUGUCUACUCCUUUCUCUGUUUCGCUGACAGAACAACAACACAAUGUCCAUCAUGUUUAUUCACCCACACCAUUCAUAUGGAUUGAACCCCAACAUAGCCUUAUUUUGAAUCAAAUGGAAAACAAGUCCAAAGAGAAAAACAACCUCUUCUUCCUCAUUGACCGAACCUAAGACCCCAUCUCAAUUUAUGACCCAUUUUCAUUAUUAGAUCUAAAAGCUAUUCCUCCUUCAUGGCUCAAUUGUUCAUCUCUUCUAUUGGAGCAAUUCAUUAUCAACAAAAUCUAUUUGGAGCUCCUGGUGAUUCAAGUUCUUGGACUAUGGGUAAACAUACUUGUUUGGAAGGAACACGUUUAAGACACAAGGUGAACAUUAAAGGAAGAAUUGAGAUUUUUGGAUAUUGCAAGUUGAACCUCAAGGAAGAUAAAGUCAAUUCUUUCAACUCAAGCCUGCAUGUAUCAAUUGGAGCUGCAAAUUCCUCAUCUUAUACAGUUAAGGAACUAAGUUGUGAGAAUAAAGAACUAGUAAUGGGUUAUGGUGAAUGAGUUAAGAAUUAAGGGAACUAGAAGAAUUGGAAGAAUUUGGGUUAAACCCGUAUUCUGGACAGACCUGCAUUAAAAAGGUAACUGUUUUCUCUCUGUAAUUCCGUUUGAGACGCCGUUUGUUUCUAUGAAUAGCUAACUCAAAUACGGUCGUUGUGACACUGGUUUCAUAAUUUUUGGACGAGGAAUGAGGUCAGUAGGUAUUUUUGAAGUUGGUGCUCUAAUGCAGAAUUAUGUAGAAAAUUCUGAUUAUUGGUUUAAAGCACUUCAGUUGCAAAUUAUGCGUUUCGGCGAGCUCUGGAAGUGUCGCUGGUAUUAUUCAAGCUUCUUUUCAGAUUUGCAGGUUGUUCGAGGAUCGUGGCCUUGAGGCAUGAAGAUUCGGAUACGUGAAUUAUGUUAUGAAGCUGACGUUAUGUUAAUCUUAUAUUUGUAUAAGAUUCGGUUCAUUUAUGUUCAGUUGUUAGCUCGAUCAUGUAUUCAUUUGUUGGAUUUUGUAAUCCUAUUCACGUACUUGGCCUUUGUGUAAAUGAAAUUAAUGUUUCCCGAUACAGUUAUGUUCACUCUUGUCGCUAUUCUAGAUAAAUCGACAUGGGGUGUUAUACUUA